rnacentral:rRNA from 1 species
UACAGAGGGUGCAAGCGUUGCUCGGAAUCAUUGGGCGUAAAGGGUAGGUAGGUGGUCUCGUUUGUCUGGGGUGAAAGCCCAGGGCUUAACCCUGGAAGUGCCCCGGAAACGGUGAGACUGGAGUCUUGGAGAGGGUCGUGGAAUUCCCGGUGUAGCGGUGAAAUGCGUAGAGAUCGGGAGGAACACCAGAGGCGAAGGCGGCGACCUGGACAAGCACUGACACUCAACUACGAAAGCGUGGGGAGCAAACAGG